GGUAGUGUGGCUGAGAGGCUUAAGGCACCUGGUUGCUAACUAGACGAGUAUAACUGCUCCGUAGGUUCGAAUCCUACCACUACCGCCA
rnacentral:tRNA from 1 species